rnacentral:lncRNA from 1 species
CCUUCUUCAGUGCCCCCUCCAACCCUGCAAGACGGGAAAGCCCUUGCCACUCUGGCACUGACCCUUCCACCUGAGGGCCCGCAGGGGACCCUGUGGGGCCCAUCAGAACAAUCUAGGACAAUCCCCUUCUUCGCAGGCCAGCUGAUAAGCAGCCUCAAGUCCCUCCUGCAUGGAGCAGCCCGUAGCCACAGGUUCUGAGAAUGGGCACGGGGGCCUCUUUGAUGAGCCUUACGCUGCCCCCCACAGCCUCUUAUUAAAGCUGCUGCAAAGGGGGCGUAGUCCCUUUCAAGUUAAGGUCUUAGAGAACAGGAAAAGAGAGCUCUGUUUCUCAAGGGAAACUGUGAGGCGGGGGAAAUCUGUUUCCCGGGUCGUGUCGGAGCCUCUUCCCGUGCCCACCCUUGCUUCUCAGCAUCCCCACCUCAGGCUGGGCCCCUGCCGCUGUGGGCUCCUCAGAGCCUUCCGAGCAAAUGCGCCCUCGGGUCUGCCAGACCCGGGCGUGCUCGCUUUUCCUCUCCCCCCAUCUAAUUUACCUGUUCCAGCUCUCACCCUACAAAACCCACACUCCCCCCACCAGCCGCCACCCACAGUGUGUAGAAUGAACACAGGGCUUCAAGUAUUUGCAUUCACUUGUCUGUAAUACUUUAUCUUCCUAGAGGGAUAUGCUAGAAGACAGGUUUUUCAAGGGGCGUUGGGGAGCUGCAUCUGCUGGAGGCGCUUACACUCCACGAAGCGCCUCACAGGAAUCUUUCCUGCCUAGAGCCAGCCUGGUUUAAAACUGCAGGUCCCUGUGUGCUCAGAAGAUAGCCUAGUACAUCUACACAGAGAAAAGGAUUUAAGUAUCUUGUGCGAGUAGUAACUUAUAAAACCUUUAACCCUGGUGUGGCUAUACUAGGAUGGUAAGAAGAAACAGUUUUCUCCUGAUGUCUCAAUGUAAGCGCCUCUGUGAUGCGGUUUUUUCUUUUCCCCAACAGCUGUUUAGAAUGGAAGUAUGCACCUGUUGUUCCAACCUUUCCAUCCUCCUUAUCAAGUAAUGAGCGUACUGCCAUUAGCACCACAAAAUCGAGAGGGAAGAGAAGUGAGCCUGAUAUUCUGGUCUCCUAAGGCCCCUACAAUCAAGGGGAACACCCCCUUUUUUUUUCAGGUACAUUGUGUCUAAGGAAUCUUCUGAAUUGAAGGACUCACUGCAGUGGAUAUUCUCCCAGGAAUGGAAGCAAAUGCAAGAGCAUCUCUUAAUCGUGAGGGAUGGGUUUGCAAACAAAUACCCCAGGGGCCGCGGAGGAGACGGCGUGUGCCUUUCUCCUCACUGGGCUCCUCUGCCGGGUGAGCGGUCAGAGCAGAGGCGGACGAUCUGGACCGUCUGCUCGUCUGCUCGGCGCCGGCUGAUGCUCUUUCUCAGCGCUGUCGGCCCAGGAUCUGGAAGACCAGUCCUACGGAAGAAGGCAGCGUUGAGCCACAGGGCUGGAAGGGGACGAGCAAGGCUCUCAGCCACAGACGUUUUCCAGGAGACAGCAUGCCAAUGUCAUGAGACAAAAGAGCCAGCGGUGAGAUACCAAAGUCAAGCGAGAGAUGAGUGCGUGUGAACUUCCCUGAAAAAAAGGGCUGAAAGCAGGGUCUUGAAGUCUUACGAAAAAGCUCCCCAUCGUGGCGCUGUGGAGGUUGCGGCCUAAUGACUUAGUGGGAGACCUCCUUGGAGUUUGUUUUUGCUCAAAUCAUAAUUUUGCUUCUAAGUCCUAGUCGAUGGAUCUAACACGAAAGAACACCAAGUAACUGGGGGAGUCACACGGCACCGUCAAGGUUCAUUUCUCUUCUGGUGAAACGUCCAGCAUGUCAGACCACACGCUGGAAAAUAUCAUGCUUGAUUAACCAGAAAAUCCCGGCAGCAGAAUGCCCGAGAAAAAUAUCAAGGGGGCAAAACCAAAAACGACCUCGUUGCUCUGGGAUAUACUCUCGGUUCCAUAGAGGUUCACCUCUGGAGUUUCAGAGAACUUUCUAGGCCAACCCCAGACACAAACCUUCCAGAAGAUAGGUCUUUGCACAAAGUGAACUGGGGCAUGUGGUAUUUUAACAGUAGAUGCAGCUCUGGAAAUGUGUAAGACACAGGCCCCGGUAAUUAAAACAGCCCUAUGGUUUAUAGGCAUCGCUCGAUUUGGGGCAAAUUGCCAGUAAUCUUAGCAAGUGCAAUGUUUCUUGCAGGACUAAAUAUCUAUCCGAACUGGAAAUAUACCCUAAAUUAUGUCUCUCACGAACUCCGUAGGCAAUGCUAACCAUUAGGUGAUAAACGGGUUCGAAGUUCUAGGUCCUUUUGAGCUGUGUAGGCAGAAAUCUGGAGGGCUACGUGCGUGACGUCACGAGAGACAGUCCCCGGGUGACUUGGCGCUGCGGGGACGGCAGUCUUAACUGACCGCAAGGUUUUAGAGGCAUUUUGUGACCCUCUGUAGAUAAUCCACAUCUUCCCACUCAUGGCGUCCCAGAGAGUUAGGUUACUGCUCAGAAACCAGAACGUUUGCAUGUCAAGGCAUCUAUUUGGAUCAGUAGAAAAAAACGGUGGCUCUGUCUUUCAAAAUAUGUGGUUUUGCCAAUUCUCUGUCAUCCAGCCUUUUACCGUUUUCAUUACGAAUUGUAUAUACACGGAGGAAUGUAAUUUAGAUGCCUGGACUGAAGGUCAUAUCUCCAAAGACACAUCUACGAAUUAGCCAUGGGGGGAAAAGGACUGCAGAAGGCAUCCAGUUCCCUGGCAUGAUGAAAUUCUAACGAGUGGGAUAACAGCAGGAGUUCCUCAGAAUAAGAUGUCCACAAAGAGCAAAGCAGAGAAGACGAUAAUUGUUUCAAGAACUGGUUAGUACCCUUCUUCUAAAAAGUCCCACGAGGGCUUAGGAGAAGACAAAUUUCCUAUUUAUUUGGAAUCCUUAAUUCUAGAAACAUAUUGGGGCUUAUGGCAUGGAUAAAAGGCUCAAAUCCUUCCAAUAAAAAAAGAACACAAUAAUAAAACGAGUUCUAAAUCACCAUCUGAAAGCCGAACAUCUGUAAUUUGACUUUCAAUUACCACUUGGUCUGUAGUGACGUGGUUUUAAGAUAUAAGUGCCUAAUAACAUAAAUUGAGAUCAUGUCAGGAUAUUGAUCACGGGGUCAUCUGAUUCCUUGGUCUGUGCCUGGGCUUGAGUGAGGGACAGUCUGAGUAACAAUUCAUCCUGGAUCAUAUAUUCAAAUCACUUACCACUUUCUGGACCGAAGUUGUUUCUAUACUUUGAAUUCACAGACAAACACAUAAAUGUUUAAAUACUUCAUAUUAAGGCAUGAUAUAUUCUUCUACAGUGGAUACUCAGAUUACAAAGAAAUAUUUUCCUGUCAUUCUCCUAUGUGUAAGUAUUUAUGCAUUACUUAACGCUGAGAUAGUCACCUGACAUUCAUUUAAAAACCUGUUGCAUUUGGACUUGGCUCAAAACAAGGUACCAAUUAAAGAACCACUCUUCACUCCCUCAUGAAGGCAGAUACUGACAUCCCAAAAUUUACUGGUGGAGACUGAUUUUCUGCUAUGUAUCUUGAAAUAAUCAAAGAAAUACAACAUAAAGCAAAUAUUUACCUCCUCGGGGGGAGAACGGAGCUCAGUUUUACAAUGGACAUUAACAAAGUCCAUGGUUUAAAUUACAGAUUAACAAAGGGUUCAUGCGCUCGAAAUUAAGUUAUUCUGUUUAAAAUCAAUCACUGAGACUGUCAUCCUGCUUACUGCUCCGACUUCCUAACAAAGGUUUAAACGAGGACUUUAUGUGCAAGGAAAGAACGUUAAGAGAUCUGCUCUUUUUCAGACCUGCACGGGCUGGAGGGGCAAGCGUUUAGGCUAUUAAUGUAAUUAGAAUGAGGAAUGUGUUUUUCCAGAAAAAACAAAUCUUCACCAAAAAAAAAAAAAAAAAA